rnacentral:rRNA from 1 species
GACGAACGCUGGCGGCGUGCCUAAUACAUGCCAGUAGAACGCUGAAGGAGGAGCUUGCUUCUCUGGAUGAGUUGCGAACGGGUGAGUAACGCGUAGGUAACCUGCCUGGUAGCGGGGGAUAACUAUUGGAAACGAUAGCUAAUACCGCAUAAGAGUAGAUGUUGCAUGACAUUUGCUUAAAAGGUGCAAUUGCAUCACUACCAGAUGGACCUGCGUUGUAUUAGCUAGUUGGUGGGGUAACGGCUCACCAAGGCGACGAUACAUAGCCGACCUGAGAGGGUGAUCGGCCACACUGGGACUGAGACACGGCCGAGACUCCUACGGGAGGCAGCAGUAGGGAAUCUUCGGCAAUGGACGGAAGUCUGACCGAGCAACGCCGCGUGAGUGAAGAAGGUUUUCGGAUCGUAAAGCUCUGUUGUAAGAGAAGAACGGGUGUGAGAGUGGAAAGUUCACACUGUGACGGUAUCUUACCAGAAAGGGACGGCUAACUACGUG